GAAAGAGAGGAGGAUGGCAUUGCCAUUUCUCUACAAGUAGGCAUCAGUAGAACACGUCUGACUCUCCUCCACCAGUCAUACAAGGAGAAUGGUUUAAUGCCUCCCAUCAAAAAGAGAGCUGGCACAAGCAAGCACAGGUUACACCUGAAGCAUGAGGACUUGCAGCGAGUUGUGAACUUCAUCAACAACUACGCAGAGGAUAAUGCAAUAGUAUUACCAGGACACUACCCAGGACACAAACACUUUGGUGGAAAGCUGCUGCCAUCUAAUGUGACAGAAGCAGCGGUGUGGCUUCUCUAAAAGGAAUCGAGGACAACAUUUGGUAUGUAAAGCAUAAACAACACGUUUUGAUUAUUUAAUUUACCUCCAACAUGAUUGCCACUACUUUUAUUGGUACGGGUAGUCGGGCUGUCUUCCUUCAGGAAUCUGUGUAGAAAAUUGCUGCUUCACAUCUCAAGCACAGACCUGUGCUGGCAGUGCCAGAGGAACAACUAUCAGGUUUUCAGAUCUGCCAAUCUGCCAGAAUUGCCCCCGACUGGUGCUUCGGCCUCAUCAAGCAGCGAACACUUUGUCCGAGAUUGCUGGUGUUAUGAAGGACAGCACUGUGACAGGGGUCAACAUCCCACAGCUGGUUGGACUGGAGGAUGGUACAGUGCUGGAGGAAAGAUAUGGCUGGCAACAACACCUGACUCCGUACUUCAGGCCACUGCCACAAGCAGUACCAGCACUUCAGCUUCGAUGCUCUGGAGCCUGGUGUUGUUGGCACCAAGGAGCAUUCGGACUCAGUCGGGACCAGGUUUCAGCUGCUGCGCAACGCUGAUAUCCUUCCUCCCAUAAAUGGAUUUCACCACUAUCAUAAACUAAGGAAGUGGGCAGAGCGGUCAAGAGGUGGAAACUGGAGACAGUGGUGGGGGAACCAAAGAGGGAGGGGUUAAGCUAAAAUGUAUGUAAAAUGACUAUAUAAACUGAG